rnacentral:rRNA from 1 species
AUGAUGCAUAUAAUGGCAGAGUUCUACGGAUCUGAGAUGAUGGUGCCGUUCGGACCAAAGGCAAUAACAAAUGUGUGUACAAGUUUCUGUAGAGAUGACACAAAGGAGGGUGACAUGAUUGAGACAAUUGCGCACUUCAAGGAUAUACAGAAAACCGAUCCAGACUUCUUCUAUAAGGUAAAAUAUGAUGAAGAGGACAGAGUUGUCAACAUAUUUUGGGUGGAUGGCUUAGCUCAAAAAGCUUAUGCUGAGGCAUACCAUGAUUGCAUAUUGUUUGACACUACCUACAUGACCAACAUGUAUAAUAUGCUGUUCGCACCCUUCAUUGGAAUAAAUAGACAUUGCCAAUCUUUUAUGCUCGGUUGCGCGUUUGUGAGGCAGGAGUUGGCAUCAAGCUUUGAUUGGGUAUUCCAAACAUUCCUAGAGGCUAUGGGUGGCAAACCUUCUGGCAACUUCAUAACUGAUCAAGAUGGUCCAAUGAGGCAGUCAAUACAGAGCAUCUUUCCAACCACCGUGCAUUGA